rnacentral:tRNA from 1 species
GAGAGUAUAGCUCAGUGAUAGACCUCGUGCCUUACAAGCACAAGGUCCUGGGUUCAAUCCCCAGUACCUCCA